CGAACGCUGGCGGCAGGCUUAACACAUGCAAGUCGAGCGCCGUAGCAAUACGGAGCGGCAGACGGGUGAGUAACACGUGGGAACGUACCUUUUGGUUCGGAACAACACAGGGAAACUUGUGCUAAUACCGGAUAAGCCCUUACGGGGAAAGAUUUAUCGCCGAAAGAUCGGCCCGCGUCUGAUUAGCUAGUUGGUGAGGUAACGGCUCACCAAGGCGACGAUCAGUAGCUGGUCUGAGAGGAUGAUCAGCCACACUGGGACUGAGACACGGCCCAGACUCCUACGGGAGGCAGCAGUGGGGAAUAUUGGACAAUGGGCGCAAGCCUGAUCCAGCCAUGCCGCGUGAGUGAUGAAGGCCCUAGGGUUGUAAAGCUCUUUUGUGCGGGAAGAUAAUUACUGUACCGCAAGAAUAAGCCCCGGCUAACUUC
rnacentral:rRNA from 1 species